rnacentral:rRNA from 1 species
GACGAACGCUGGCGGCGUGCUUAACACAUGCAAGUCGAACGGAAAGGCCCUGCUUGCAGGGUACUCGAGUGGCGAACGGGUGAGUAACACGUGGGUGAUCUGCCCUGCACUUCGGGAUAAGCCUGGGAAACUGGGUCUAAUACCGGAUAGGAGCCAUUUUUAGUGUGAUGGUUGGAAAGUUUUUUCUGUGUAGGAUGAGCUCGCGGCCUAUCAGCUUGUUGGUGGGGUAAUGGCCUACCAAGGCGGCGACGGGUAGCCGGCCUGAGAGGGUGGACGGCCACAUUGGGACUGAGAUACGGCCCAGACUCCUACGGGAGGCAGCAGUGGGGAAUAUUGCACAAUGGGCGCAAGCCUGAUGCAGCGACGCCGCGUGGGGGAUGACGGCCUUCGGGUUGUAGACUCCUUUCGCUAGGGACGAAGCUUUUUGUGACGGUACCUAGAUAAGAAGCACCGGCUAACUACGUG